UGAGUACGAGACGCUAAGGCGUUGAAGUAGUGGAUGUCAUACUUCCAAGAAAAGCUUGCACUGUCAUAAUAAAAAAUGCCUGUACCAUAACCGACACAGGUGGGUAGGUAGAGUAUACUAAGGGGCGCGAGAUAACUCUCUCUAAGGAACUCGGCAAAAUGACUCCGUAACUUCGGGAGAAGGAGUGCCUUAUUCGUAAGGCUGCAAUAACAAGAUCCAAGCAACUGUUUAUCAAAAACACAGGUCUCCGCUAAGUCGUAAGACGAUGUAUGGGGGCUGACGCCUGCCCAGUGCCGGAAGGUUAAAGAAGUCGGUUAGCAUUAGCGAAGCUGGUAACUGAAGCCCUGGUGAACGGCGGCCGUAACCAUAACGGUCCUAAGGUAGCGAAAUUCCUUGUCGGGUAAGUUCCGACCCGCACGAAAGGCGUAAUGAUUUGGAUACUGUCUCGGAGAGGGGCUCGGUGAAAUAGACUUGUCUGUGAAGAUGCGGACUACCUGCACCAGGACAGAAAGACCCUAUGAAGCUUUACUGUAACUUGAAAUUGAAAUUGGACUUUAUUCGCGCAGUAUAGGUGGGAGACGUUGAUUAUAAUCUUGCGGGAUUAUUGGAGCCAUCAGUGAGAUACCACUCUUGUAAUGUUAGAUUUCUAACUUUGAAUCAUUAUCUGGUCAAAGAACAGUUUCAGGCGGGCAGUUUGACUGGGGCGGUCGCCUCCUAAACGGUAACGGAGGCGUACAAAGGUUUCCUCUGAACGGGUAGAAAUCGUAUCUAGAGUGUAAAGGCAUAAGGAAGCUUGACUGUGAGACCUACAAGUCGAGCAGGGACGAAAGUCGGUCUUAGUGAUCUGACGGUACUGAGUGGAAAGGCCGUCACUCAACGGAUAAAAGUUACUCUAAGGAUAACAGGCUGAUCUCCCCCAAGAGUUCACAUCGACGGGGAGGUUUGGCACCUCGAUGUCGGCUCAUCGCAUCCUGGGGCGGUAGUACGUCCCAAGGGUUGGGCUGUUCGCCCAUGAAAGCGGUACGCGAGCUGGGUUCAGAACGUCGUGAGACAGUUCGGUCCAUAUCCGGUGUAGGCGUUAGAAUAUUGAGAGGAGCCUUCUUUAGUACGAGAGGACCGAGAAGGACAUACCUCUGGUGUACCAGUUAUCGUGCCAACGGUAAACGCUGGGUAGCUAUGUAUGGAGUGGAUAACCGCUGAAAGCAUCUAAGUGGGAAGCCCACCUCAAGAUAAG
rnacentral:rRNA from 1 species